UACGUAGGGUGCGAGCGUUAAUCGGAAUUACUGGGCGUAAAGCGUGCGCAGGCGGUUUUGUAAGCCAGGUGUGAAAUCCCCGGGCUCAACCUGGGAAUGGCAUUUGGGACUGCAAGGCUGGAGUGCGGCAGAGGAGACUGGAAUUCCUGGUGUAGCAGUGAAAUGCGUAGAUAUCAGGAGGAAUACCGAUGGCGAAGGCAGGUCUCUGGGCUGACACUGACGCUCAUGCACGAAAGCGUGGGGAGCAAAAGGG
rnacentral:rRNA from 1 species